UUAUAUUUGAGAGUUUGAUCCUGGCUCAGGAUGAACGCUGGCGGCGUGCCUAACACAUGCAAGUCGAGCGAUCUCUUCGGAGAAAGCGGCGGACGGGUGAGUAACGCGUGGGUAACCUGCCCUGUACACACGGAUAACAUACCGAAAGGUAUACUAAUACGGGAUAACAUAUGAAAGUCGCAUGGCUUUUAUAUCAAAGCUCCGGCGGUACAGGAUGGACCCGCGUCUGAUUAGCUAGUUGGUAAGGUAAUGGCUUACCAAGGCAACGAUCAGUAGCCGACCUGAGAGGGUGAUCGGCCACACUGGAACUGAGACACGGUCCAGACUCCUACGGGAGGCAGCAGUGGGGAAUAUUGCACAAUGGGCGAAAGCCUGAUGCAGCAACGCCGCGUGAGCGAUGAAGGCCUUCGGGUCGUAAAGCUCUGUCCUCAAGGAAGAUAAUGACGGUACUUGAGGAGGAAGCCCCGGCUAACUACGUGCCAGCAGCCGCGGUAAUACGUAGGGGGCUAGCGUUAUCCGGAAUUACUGGGCGUAAAGGGUGCGUAGGUGGUUUUUUAAGUCAGAAGUGAAAGGCUACGGCUCAACC
rnacentral:rRNA from 1 species